UACGUAGGGUGCGAGCGUUAAUCGGAAUUACUGGGCGUAAAGCGUGCGCAGGCGGUUUUGCAAGACAGAUGUGAAAUCCCCGGGCUUAACCUGGGAACUGCAUUUGUGACUGCAAGGCUAGAGUGUGUCAGAGGGAGGUGGAAUUCCGCGUGUAGCAGUGAAAUGCGUAGAGAUGCGGAGGAACACCGAUGGCGAAGGCAGCCUCCUGGGGAUAACACUGACGCUCAUGCACGAAAGCGUGGGGAGCAAACAGG
rnacentral:rRNA from 1 species